rnacentral:tRNA from 1 species
UAGCUCAGUUGGUAAAGAGUCUGCCUGCAAUGCAGAAGACCCGGGUUCAAUCCCUGG